rnacentral:rRNA from 1 species
GUUAAGGGCGAGGUUUCUGCCUCAGAUUUGCUCACCCAGCUCAACGGGAUCUUUUGUAAGAACAAAGAGUGGCCGUGGCAGAUCAGGGAACUGGAGAACAAGAAAUUUCUGCUGAGAUUUCCACCUUGGAAAAAUGUAGAUGAUCUAAUUGAGUUCCCACCAUUUGAGCUACCCAUUGCUGGGGUGUCUGUCAAAAUUUGUGAAUGGGAAGGAAUGUUGGAUGAGUUUGGAGCACUUACUGAGGCUUGGGUGUAGAUCGAGGGGAUCCCGCCUAAAUGGUGUGCUUGGAAAGUCUUUGCUCAGAUCACAACAUGUUUUGGGAUUCUAGUGGAUGUUGACUGGAAUGGUAUUUUCAAGAGUUUUUAUGAAACUAUUCGAGUCAAGGUUUAUAGUGGAAGGGUUUGA